UUCUUUUUCAGUACAUCCAUCACUCAAAACAGCCUUCACUUAGAAGUGAGAACCCAAACCCUCGAUUCCUCUUCUCAACUAAGAACCCUAAACCUUUGCAGCCCUCUCUCAGCUCGCAGCCCUCUUCGUCACUGAGAAUCCAUCUUCAUCUUUCAGCUCAUAGCCCUCUCUCAACUUGCAACCCUCUAUCCUUCUCUUACAACCCUUUAUCCCUCUUUCGCAACUCUUGGAAAUUUCAAUCGGUGCUACCUCCGUCGGCGCACCCUCCAUCGGUGCGCCCUCCGUCAGCGCUCACUCCCACUCGCAAGGCCUCCAUCGGCGCUCACUCUCUCUCGCUUAAACCUUACCUCCGCCGACGCUGACUCAUUCCUCGCUGCCUCUCCCUCAAUCGUCGUUCCUCCCUCAAUCGGUGCUCAACCCUCACCAUAACACAAGAAGCUUAAAUGCUGCAAUUUUGCAAUAAUCUCGUGGUAGGAAGCUAAGCAUUUGACCUGAAUCAAAUAACUGCUGUCUGGUAUACCAAUGUGUUUUCUAGAAAGUAUCAUAUUAUUGUCAUGUUUGGAGAGCAGAAACGAUGCAAUUAUUGAUCAUCUUCUUCACGAGUGUGAUUUAAUUGGAAGAGUUAUUAGUGCGGAUAAAGAUUCUAUUCUCUCUGCUGACAAAAAUAUGCCUACUGUACCUGCUAUUGGAAAACGGGCACCACGCGUGGGAAAUAUUGGGCAUAUUACUCGAGUUGCUAACAAGCUUAUUUACUUAUCACAUAAUCGAAGCAACAUACUUUCAUGUCUUCAGGAAAAUAAUGAGUGGAAUGAAUGGCAAGCUAAAGUUCUUCAGGAACGUAAUGUGGUUGAGAAUGUUCAUCGGUGGGCUUGUGGGCGUCCAACUGCUUUACAUGGUAGGAUGAGGGAUAGUGAUGAUGAUGACACUCAUGACAGGGACUACGACAUUGCAGCUUUAGCAACUAAUUUGAAUCAGGCUUUUGGAUAUAAAAUUUAUGGAACUGAGGAUAAUGAAGAGUCUGCCCAAGGUGGUUUAGGCACUGAACUUAAAUGCCAGACUAAUUCUUUGAUUGGUUUGGUUGCAGAAAAAUAACAACAUUGAGUGAGAUGAUGAGGAUGUCUACUUUGAUGAUGACUCUGCCCAAGUAGUCAUAUCAUCCCUAAGAUUGGUGAGGAUCAAGGAAGAGAAUUCCGAGUCGAACGCGUGGCCGCUGACGGCUCAUCAAUCAGAGCUCGGAUUGAAAGUUAUGGCGAAUUGAAAUCGAAGCAAGGGUUUGAGAUCCUCCUUCUCCUCCUCCAAUGUGUUUUCAACGUGUUGCAUUUUUGUUGGGGGAAGGAAGAGCUGAUGCUCUUCAUAUAUAAUGGGUUAAGUUGGGCCUUGGGCCCAUUAUGGGCCUGAUUCGCCUGUUUCGUCCUGUUCGAUCCAAUUUUGGGUCAAUUUCUUUAAAAUUAGUGUCAAAAUUUUUAUUUUAAUUAAUUUUACCACAUUGAACUCUAAAAUUUCAAUUUUUAAUUUUCUAGAAUAAAUAUUAAUUUAUGAGUUAAUUAUUCGUUAAUUAUUUGGGUUUUACACCGGAGGCCGGACAAAGGUAAUAAAGGUGAGAGAUGUUUGUAUUGUGUGAUGAUGUAUUAUAUGAAAUGGAGUUAAAUGAAUUGUGAUGAUGUAUUAUAUGAAA